GCGAGGUGACGAUAGAAAUUCAUGUCUGUCAAUCCACUGACUGGUAACAGUUUGAUGUUACUGUGAAUCCCGACAGGUUCCGAUCGC